rnacentral:misc_RNA from 1 species
GUGAAAACAGCCUAUGGAAUCUGUCAACAUGUAAACCCUCCUCAAACGAUCACCAAAGUGAAGACGAGUUACUCACAAAAUCUAAAUCCUCAAAAUGUAGGGAUAAGAAAAGCCCUCAUAUUGCCUAAUUGAUUCUCAGAAUACACCAAGCAUGCCAGCGAUUAAGGGUCAGCAAGUGAAGUUUUCAGAACUCAACUGUUU